rnacentral:lncRNA from 1 species
GGUGGAGAGAAGGCCACAGCUGUCUUUGGGUAGGGCGCCUGUGUGUGCAUGCUGUGUGCAUGUGCUGGAGAGACUAAGGCAUAGAGAAGGGCCCAAGCGAUGAGGUAAAGUGAGUCUCCUGGCUGCGCUAGUCCCUUCUUUCCAGGCACAAAGAAGUUGAACUUGUUAUUCAUGUAGGCCCCCUUCCUCUCACCUCAGCUUUUAGUAAGCAGUGUGUGUGUGCAUGAGUAGCUGUGUGUGACAGAGUAAGUCCCUGUGCCUUUCUAGAUUUCAGUAAUUCAGGUUUGCAGUUUCAACAGAAAUAAUCUGUAAAUGACACAAGCAAAUUUACAAGUUAGAUUAGCAACUUUACAUUCCUUAAAAUCUGAUGUUAUAUUUUUAAAAAUGCCUCUGGGUACAGGCAAAAUUAUGUCAUAUGGCCACUGGAACUGAAGUCCUUACCAGCUAUAUGAAGAAUAUUCAGAUUGUUUCUGUUAUCUCUGCAUUUUAAAGUAGCAAAAUACUAAGCCAUUAGGUUAUUGAACCUGUAAUAUUCCCACAGGGGUUUUAUGUCUACCCCAUGGGAUUCAAUUAAUUUUCCUGGACUCUGGUUAGACUGUUUCCUUUCCCUCUUAGGCAUUUGGC